CUAGUGACUUGCUCUUGCGAAGAAAGUUAUGUACAGGAAGGUGAACAAGGAAGAGUACUGCAGCUUUCAUGCUUAUGAAGGGUUUCAGCGGGAUCUCCAGAAACUUUUCAAAGAAAAUGUGACUGCGGCUCUUGCUGGUGACAACCCGAAAACUCGAAAGGAGAGGGAAAUGAAAGAGAAUUUGAAACGAGCCAAGGAAGAGAAGAGGCAAAGUGACACUCUCAAAAUGGCCGAGAACCGGAUGAAGAACACGAGAAUCAAGCCUCCAUGAUGAUGGUGGUCU